AAAAAUAUUACCUCCGGCAGUCAUGUUAUAAUGGCUCUUGUGCUGACAGCCCUUUGGGAGCAGUGGCAGCAGUGGGGUCGGACCUUUUAGAGAGAAUGUGUGUACGGCCUUCCCCAGGAACCAGUAAAGGAAGGAAAGCCUCCGUGAAAUGUGCCCAAGUUUCCUUCUGCAGCAAGAGAAUGGUUAAGUGCAGAAUUCCAGCCAGGCAAAUGAAAACUCCCCCGUGGCACACUGCAGAGUGUCCUCCAGCUAAUUUUGCCAUACUAAGGAAAGGACAAAUACAGUUUUCCACAUGAAUACGCUCUGGUCUCUUAACCGGCAUGAUACAGAUACACAUUCAGGAGCACCUUUGCUGCAGUCACUGGAGUGAGUGGCUGGCUGUCCCUGCCCAGUGGAGGUGCCCUCAGACUGCUGGUGUGAUGCUGUUCAGCAGCCAAGCAUCCAAAGAAAAAGCGUGGAAACAGUCCCUUGAUUCCUUGGACAAAUUUGAAGGACAAAAUCUGCCAACUGCUUGGUAUAUUGAUUCAAAUGCAUUAUUCCUCCCCCUGCCCUGGGAAAGGAGCAAUCAGUGCAGGUGCAAAUAGUUUUUAAUUGCAAAACGUAUCUCACCGUGGAGGCAUUUAGGCUAAAUAUGAUACAACCACUACGGCAGUAGCCUGAAGACCAAUAAGCCAGAGCACU